ACCAAAAUCACCCUUCUUACCAACAAUGGAGAAAGAUGCCGCUGGUCACCGGAAAAAGAAAACUAAGAGGAAGUUCUUGCGUGCUGUUAAGGCUGUACUCUUCGAGACAACACUGGUGAGAAAUUUUUUUGGCUUCCAAUAUUGUUGAUCAAUUGUGAUAUAGAGAUAGAUCCAUUGGUGCUCUGUUUUUGAAUUUUGGGUUCUGUUGUUU
rnacentral:misc_RNA from 1 species